CUCGAUGACAUGCCGAUGCUGUUUCAGACCGCAAACAAUGGAGGGGGAAGUUUCUAAUUUAUGUUCCACAAACAAAAAUAUUUCAAAGGUCACGAAAAGAUGUUGCUGAUAGGACUCAACGUUUGUUUCUGGAGAAAGCUGAGUUGUAUGAGCCAACCAUCCAUACAGUGUGUUGAGUCCAUGAAGAAGGAGAUUGAUAUUAGCGACGGACCUUGAAGAGCUCUCCCUCAGAUGAGGAAGAGGAGUGAUCUUUCUUCAAAGGGAGCAGAUAGUGAAACAAGAGCAAGCCCGAUGAGGAGGUGUCGGGUGUUGUUAUACACAAGGACUCCAAAUGGUACCAGCGGUGGAAGGACUUCACUGACAAUAACAUGGUUUUCAACAGGCUCUUUGAGAUGAAGAUGAAAUGUGACGCAAGUGACAAUGUCCUUGUCCGAGGAUCCAGGGCUAUGACUGAGCGAGCUGCCACCGUCCUUGGUAAUAACCUUCUCGUUCUCACAGAAUCAAAAACUGCGCUGGAGCUACCAAAAGAAAAUCUUCGUAGUGUUGUUUGUGUUUUCUACCUACCGUAAUUUCUGGACUAUAAACCGUUACUUUUGUCACACGCUUUCAACC